CACGCAUGACACACUGCAUAUCAAUAAGCGGAGGAAAAGAAACUAACAAGGAUUCCCUUAGUAACGGCGAGUGAAGCGGGAAGAGCUCAAAUUUGAAAUCUUCAAGGUUCUACCUUGACGAAUUGUAGUUUAUAGAAGUGUUUUCUGUUAGUAGAGUGGCAAAAGUUCUUUGGAAUAGGACAUCAUAGAGGGUGAGAAUCCCGUAUUUGGUCAUUCUUUCUAGCUUUGUGAUACACUUUCAACGAGUCGGAUUGUUUGGGAAUGCAGUCCAAAAUGGGUGGUAAAUUUCAUCUAAAGCUAAAUAUUGGCGAGAGACCGAUAGCGAACAAGUACCGUGAGGGAAAGAUGAAAAGAACUUUGAAAAGAGAGUUAAACAGUACGUGAAAGUCGUCAAAAGGGAAGCGUUUGACACCAGUGUUGUUUUUCCGAAAAUCAAUUACGAAUGUUUUAUUUUUGAGAAGUUAUGACUUCAUCGGCUUGCUUCUCUCUUUAUGAAACUUUCUUAAUGCACUUUUCGGUUAACAAGUCAACAUCAAUUUCUUUUGUUGUAAAAGGGUAUGAGGAAGGUGGCUUUCUUUUCGGAGAAAGUGUUUAUAGCCUUGUACCUCUGCAAUCGGAGAGAUUGAGGUCUGCAGCGUAGAUCCUUCGGGGUUAGAUACAUUUGUGCUAAGUUAUAGCUUUUCAUAGACAACUUGUUGACUAUGUUUAGUCUUGUAGCUUACUCGCUUAUGCUAUUUUACCUACGCUUAGGAUGUUGAGCGCAUGUCUCUCUCU
rnacentral:rRNA from 1 species